rnacentral:rRNA from 1 species
GGUUGAAGGUUGGGUAACACUAACUGGAGGACCGAACCGACUAAUGUUGAAAAAUUAGCGGAUGACCUGUGGCUGGGGGUGAAAGGCCAAUCAAACCGGGAGAUAGCUGGUUCUCCCCGAAAGCUAUUUAGGUAGCGCCUCGUGAAUUCAUCUCCGGGGGUAGAGCACUGUUUCGGCCAGGGGGCCAUCCCGGCUUACCAACCCGAUGCAAACUGCGAAUACCGGAGAAUGUUAUCACGGGAGACACACGGCGGGUGCUAACGUCCGUCGUGAAGAGGGAAACAACCCAGACCGCCAGCUAAGGUCCCAAAGUCAUGGUUAAGUGGGAAACGAUGUGGGAAGGCCCAGACAGCCAGGAUGUUGGCUUAGAAGCAGCCAUCAUUUAAAGAAAGCGUAAUAGCUCACUGGUCGAGUCGGCCUGCGCGGAAGAUGUAACGGGGCUAAACCAU